GGUGGGCGCGCGCAGCCCGUUCUUCCGGUCUUCGUGACGACAUGGCGGCGGUGCUGGUGGCGGUGGCAGCAUGUUGUCCAGCAAAGGGAAAAACACCCUUUGCACUCACCUUCCCGGGAGGGUGAGUCUUUCACCGGGCUGGCAGUAAGCCUGCAUCAGCAGCACAAAGGAGGAAAAUGUUGUGCAGAACCCUGGGGUUGGAUCAUCCCCCAGAGGCAGCUUUGGCGAGAAGGCAGCUGUGAAGUCGGACCUCAAACUGGUAAGAGAAUCUAACUCGUGUCUGUUUGUAGAAGAUCUGUUCUGUGCACUGAUGGGCUGAACCAGCAGACUUGACGGCAGCACACUUCCGUAGGAAAUAAAGGACCUGGUGUGCAGCUGGAGGAAGGAGCAAGUGGUUCCUGCAGUGCUGUUUUUGAAUAAAACAAAUCAUUGAAAAUCAGAGAGUCAAGUCUUUUUUGGGUAUCUGCUUUGAACAGAAAUGGCUUUGGGCAAGUAGAAAGGAUUUCAUAUUGAAAUGCCUUCUGAAAUAAGAGCAAGCGUGAGCUUAUUCU